rnacentral:rRNA from 1 species
AUCGAACGCUGGCGGCAAGCCUAACACAUGCAAGUCGAACGAGUGGCGGACGGGUGAGGAAUGUCUGGGAAACUGCCAGAUGGAGGGGGAUAACUACUGGAAACGGUAGCUUAUACCGCAUACCAUCGGAUGUGCCCCGAUGGGAUUAGCUAGUAGGUGGGGUAAAGGCGCAACUAGGCAACGAUCCCUAGCUGGUCUGACAGGAUGACCAGGCACCCGGGAACUGAAGCACGGUCCAGACUCCGACUGUGGGCUGCAGUGGAGUAUAUUGCACAAUGGGCGCGAGCCUGAUGCAGCCAUGCCGCGUGUGUGAAGGAAGCCUUCGGGUUGUAAAGUACUUGCAUCGGGUAGGCGUUACCCGCAGAAGAAGCACCGGCUAACUCCGUGCCAGCAGCCGCGGUAAUUC